AACCUGGUUGAUCCUGCCAGUAGUCAUAUGCUUGUCUUAAAGAUUAAUCCAUGCAUGUGUAAGUAUAAGUAUUGUACAGCGAAACUGCGAAUGGCUCAUUACAUCAGUUAUAAUUUAUUUGAUAAUCGAAAGUUACAUGGAUAACCGUGACAAAUUACAGCUAAUACAUGCAGUCAGACCUGGUCCAAGGGUCGUAAUUAUUAGUAUUAAACCAUUUCCGAAAGGAGUGUGAUGAAUCAUAAUAAUCGAACGAAUCGCCUGGUGUGCGAUAAAUCAUUCAAGUUUCUGCCCUAUCAGCUUUGGAUGGUAGUGUAUUGGACUACCAUGGCAGUCACGGGUAACGGAGAAUUAGGGUUCGAUUCCGGAGAGGGAGCCUGAGAAACGGCUACCACAUCUACGGAAGGCAGCAGGAGCGAAAAUUGCCCAAUCCCGACACGGGGAGGCAGUGACGAGAAAUAACAACUCUUGGUUAUUCUAAGAAGUGUAAUGAGGAUAAUUUAAAACCCUUACCGAAAGCAAUUGGAGGGCAAGUCUGGUGCCAGCAGCCGCGGUAAUUCCAGCUCCAAUAGCGUAUAUUAAAGUUGUUGCAGUUAAAAAGCUCGUAGUUGAAGUUCUGGCUGUUCGAUCCUCGAGCUCUGUAGCCGAGGACUCGACAGUCAUCCGCUUGCAAAUAUAUGUUCGCCUUUAACCGGGUGGCUAUAUGAGUAAGCAAUUUACCUUGAGAAAAACAGAGUGUUCCAGGCAGGUUUGUCCGGAAUGCAUUAGCAUGGAAUAAUAGAAUAUGACUGAAGUCGAUUUAUUGGUUUGAGGCUUUAGUAAUGAUUAAUAGGAACAGUCGGGGGCAUUGGUACUUGACAGUCAGAGGUGAAAUUCUAGGAUUUGUCAAAGACUAACAAAUGCGAAAGCAUUUGCCAAGGAUGUUUUCAUUAAUCAAGAACGAAAGUUAGGGGAUCAAAGACGAUCAGAUACCGUCCUAGUCUUAACUAUAAACUAUACCGACUCGGAUUCAGAUGAAUCAUAAAGUUCAUUUGGGACCGUAGGAGAAAUCAAAGUUUCUGGGUUCUGGGGGAAGUAUGGUCGCAAGGCUGAAACUUAAAGGAAUUGACGGUUUUGCACCACCAUGGAGUGGAGUCUGCGGCUUAAUUUGACUCAACACUGGGAAACUCAUCAGGGCAAGAAGAUUGUAGGAUUGACAGAUUGAGAGUUCUUUCUUGAUUGGUCUAGUGGUGGUGCAUGGCCGUUCUUAGUUGGUGGAGUGAUUUGUCUGGUUAAUUCCGUUAACGAACGAGACCUUAACCUGCUAACUAGUACACAGAUGACAAAUCUGUGAUACUUCUUAGAGGGACUAUGUGAUGUAACCACAUGGAAGUUUGAGGCAAUAACAGGUCUGUGAUGCCCUUAGAUGUCCUGAGCUGCGCGCGUACUACAAUGGUGCUUUCAACGAGCUUUUCCUGAUCCGAAAGGAUUUGGGUAAUCUUUUUAGUGAGCACCGUGCUUGGGAUAGAUCUUUGUAAUUAUGGAUCUUGAACUAGGAAUUCCUAGUAAGCGCGCGUCAUCAGCGCGUGCUGAUUACGUCCCUGCAAAAUGUACACACCGCCC
rnacentral:rRNA from 1 species